UUAAUUGAAGCCAAAGGAGGGGAGGCAUCUCAUUGUUAAUGAGAAUAUUGAUUUUAUCCAAUUAAA
rnacentral:tRNA from 1 species